UAGAUACCCUGGUAGUCCACGCCGUAAACGAUGGAUACUAGGGGUUGGCAAGAAAAUUGUCAGUCCCGAAGUUAACGCGAUAAGUAUCCCACCUGGGGAGUACGACCGCAAGGUUAAAACUCAAAGGAAUUGACGGGGGCCCGCACAAGCAGUGGGGUAUGUGGUUUAAUUCGACGCAACGCGAAGAACCUUACCAGGGCUUGACAUAUACAGGAAUAUAUAAGAGAUUAUAUAGCUCUACGGAGUCUGU
rnacentral:rRNA from 1 species